AGGAAGUAAAAGUCGUAACAAGGUUUCCGUAGGUGAACCUGCGGAAGGAUCAUUACAGAGUUCAUGCCCGAAAGGGUAGACCUCCCACCCUUGUGUAUUAUUACUUUGUUGCUUUGGCGAGCUGCCUUCGGGCCUUGUAUGCUCGCCAGAGAAUACCAAAACUCUUUUUAUUAAUGUCGUCUGAGUACUAUAUAAUAGUUAAAACUUUCAACAACGGAUCUCUUGGUUCUGGCAUCGAUGAAGAACGCAGCGAAAUGCGAUAAGUAAUGUGAAUUGCAGAAUUCAGUGAAUCAUCGAAUCUUUGAACGCACAUUGCGCCCCUUGGUAUUCCGGGGGGCAUGCCUGUUCGAGCGUCAUUUCAACCCUCAAGCUUAGCUUGGUAUUGAGUCUAUGUCAGUAAUGGCAGGCUCUAAAAUCAGUGGCGGCGCCGCUGGGUCCUGAACGUAGUAAUAUCUCUCGUUACAGGUUCUCGGUGUGCUUCUGCCAAAAC
rnacentral:misc_RNA from 1 species